GCUAUGAGUGGUGGCACAUGCCUGUAGUCCCAGCUACUCGGGAGGCUGAGGUGAGAGGAUUGCUUGAGCCCAGGAAUUCUGGGCUAUAGUGUACUAUGCUGAUCAGGUGUCCACUCUUAAGUUUUGCAUCCAUAUGGUGACCUCUAGGGAGUGGGAGACCACCAGGUUGCCUAAGGAGAGGUAAACUGACCCAGGUCAGAAACAGAGAAGGUCAAAACUCCCGUGCUGAUUAGUAGUGGGAUCAUGCCUGUGAAUAGCCACUGCAUACCAGCCUAGGUGACAUAGCAAGACCCCAUCUCU
ensembl:misc_RNA Metazoa_SRP Metazoan signal recognition particle RNA